ACAGCUUUGUAGUAUAUCUUGGAAUUUGGAAUUGUGAUAACUCCAGUUUUGUUUUUCUUUUUCAAGGUAGCUUUGACUAUUUGGGGUCUUCUGUGGUUCCAUACAUAUUUUAGGAUUGUUUCUUCU